CAUGGAGAAGAAGUGUUCAUUUGCAGAAUUAUCAGACAUGAUACCUAGUGUGAUAAACUGUAUGAAGACAUUUAAUGGUGGUAAAGCAUUGUGUGACUUGGUUAAAGCAUUCGUCCCAGA